UUUAUGGAGAGUUUGAUCCUGGCUCAGGACGAACGCUGGCGGCGUGCCUAAUACAUGCAAGUCGAGCGGACAAUUGAGAGCUUGCUCUCAAUUGUUAGCGGCGGACGGGUGAGUAACACGUGGGCAACCUGCCCUGUAGACUGGGAUAACUUCGGGAAACCGAAGCUAAUACCGGAUAAUCUUUUGCGUCUCAUGGCGCGAAAGUAAAAGUUGGGUUUUACCUAACACUACAGGAUGGGCCCGCGGCGCAUUAGCUAGUUGGUAAGGUAACGGCUUACCAAGGCGACGAUGCGUAGCCGACCUGAGAGGGUGAUCGGCCACACUGGGACUGAGACACGGCCCAGACUCCUACGGGAGGCAGCAGUAGGGAAUCUUCCGCAAUGGACGAAAGUCUGACGGAGCAACGCCGCGUGAACGAUGAAGGCCUUCGGGUCGUAAAGUUCUGUUGUUAGGGAAGAACAAGUACCGUUCGAAUAGGGCGGUACCUUGACGGUACCUAACCAGAAAGCCACGGCUAACUACGUGCCAGCAGCCGCGGUAAUACGUAGGUGGCAAGCGUUGUCCGGAAUUAUUGGGCGUAAAGCGCGCGCAGGCGGUCUCUUAAGUCUGAUGUGAAAGCCCACGGCUCAACCGUGGAGGGUCAUUGGAAACUGGGAGACUUGAGUGCAGAAGAGGAGAGUGGAAUUCCAUGUGUAGCGGUGAAAUGCGUAGAUAUAUGGAGGAACACCAGUGGCGAAGGCGACUCUCUGGUCUGUAACUGACGCUGAGGCGCGAAAGCGUGGGGAGCAAACAGGAUUAGAUACCCUGGUAGUCCACGCCGUAAACGAUGAGUGCUAGGUGUUAGGGGUUUCGAUGCCCUUAGUGCCGAAGUUAACACAUUAAGCACUCCGCCUGGGGAGUACGACCGCAAGGUUGAAACUCAAAGGAAUUGACGGGGGCCCGCACAAGCAGUGGAGCAUGUGGUUUAAUUCGAAGCAACGCGAAGAACCUUACCAGGUCUUGACAUCCUUUGACAACCCUAGAGAUAGGGCUUUCCCCUUCGGGGGACAAAGUGACAGGUGGUGCAUGGUUGUCGUCAGCUCGUGUCGUGAGAUGUUGGGUUAAGUCCCGCAACGAGCGCAACCCUUGAUCUUAGUUGCCAGCAUUCAGUUGGGCACUCUAAGGUGACUGCCGGUGACAAACCGGAGGAAGGUGGGGAUGACGUCAAAUCAUCAUGCCCCUUAUGACCUGGGCUACACACGUGCUACAAUGGAUGGUACAAAGGGCAGCAAAACCGCGAGGUUGAGCCAAUCCCAUAAAGCCAUUCUCAGUUCGGAUUGUAGGCUGCAACUCGCCUACAUGAAGCCGGAAUUGCUAGUAAUCGCGGAUCAGCAUGCCGCGGUGAAUACGUUCCCGGGCCUUGUACACACCGCCCGUCACACCACGAGAGUUUGUAACACCCGAAGUCGGUGGGGUAACCUUUAUGGAGCCAGCCGCCUAAGGUGGGACAGAUGAUUGGGGUGAAGUCGUAACAAGGUAGCCGUAUCGGAAGGUGCGGCUGGAUCACCUCCUUU
rnacentral:rRNA from 1 species